rnacentral:rRNA from 1 species
UACAGAGGGGGCAAGCGUUGUUCGGAAUUACUGGGCGUAAAGGGCGCGUAGGCGGCCUGUUAAGUCGAACGUGAAAUCCCCGGGCUCAACCCGGGAACUGCGUCCGAUACUGGCAGGCUUGAAUCCGGGAGAGGGAUGCGGAAUUCCAGGUGUAGCGGUGAAAUGCGUAGAUAUCGGGAGGAACACCAGUGGCGAAGGCGACUACCUGGCCUGUUCUUGACGCUGAGGCGCGAAAGCUAGGGGAGCAAACGGG